rnacentral:ncRNA from 1 species
UCCGAACGUCAUGCUGAGCUUGUCGAAGCAUCUCUACCGCUUCGGUUGGGCCGUUCAACGAAGCGGUAGAGAUGCUUCGACAAGCUCAGCAUGACGUUCUGUUAAAUUCCCAAACACGUUUUAAAAAAAGAAUAGCUCAGUUUAAAUGCCUGAAUUAUUCUU